rnacentral:snoRNA from 1 species
UCGUCGUACCCCGCCGUCGAAGAGCAAAUCGGUCCCGCAUCUUUUGUGGUCGACCAAAGUUGAUAUAUUCCUGAUCCUUGGCGUAGCCCGUUGGGCCGUGACCGCGGUAGAUAAACCAUAUCAGCUACAGUU